UUCCGUUUUGACAGCGAGAGGCAUGAUGGGAGAUGUAGUGUGAUUGUCUACCAUAUAAAACAAUAUGAACUCCAUUCGUCUUCCUCUUUACUAAGCGAGCCUGGGCGAGGCGCUGUAAGCAACCAUGCCCGUUGCCAGAAGUUGGGUUUGUCGCAAGACCUAUGUUACUCCUCGCCGUCCGUUCGAGAAGUCUCGUCUCGACCAGGAGUUAAAGCUUAUUGGCGAGUAUGGUCUGAGGAACAAGCGUGAGGUGUGGAGGGUCAAGUUUACCCUGGCUAAGAUCCGUAAGGCUGCCAGAGAGCUUCUCACUCUGGACGAGAAGGACCCCAAGCGUCUGUUUGAAGGUAAUGCCUUGCUCAGGCGUCUGGUGAGGAUUGGUGUGCUGGAUGAGGGUAAGAUGAAGCUCGAUUAUAUCCUGGGCCUGAAGGUUGAGGAUUUCUUGGAGAGGAGGCUGCAGACUCAGGUCUUCAAGCUCGGACUUGCCAAGAGUAUCCACCAUGCCCGUGUCCUGAUCCGCCAGAGGCACAUUCGAGGACCCCCAUGCUGUAGCACUCUGCGUUGAGAGCACUUAAUCAUUUCAGCAAGGUCAAUUCGGUAUCAAAGCCGUAUACCUUGUCGGUAGUUAUUGCCCAGAGCCAAUCCUGCCAUCUGUGGGCUCAGGAUGCUCCAAUAUGUGGUGGCGGCUGUGAGUGUGCGCAAACAGGUGGUGAACAUCCCCUCCUUUGUGGUUCGCCUGGACAGCCAGAAGCACAUCGACUUCUCCCUGAGGUCACCAUACGGCGGUGGACGUCCUGGCCGCGUCAAGAGAAAGAACGCCAAGAAGGGUCA